rnacentral:rRNA from 1 species
CCUACGGGGGGCAGCAGUGGGGAAUAUUGGACAAUGGGGGGAACCCUGAUCCAGCCAUGCCGCGUGUGUGAAGAAGGCCCUCGGGUUGUAAAGCACUUUCAGUGAGGAAGAACGCCUGGUGGUUAAUACCCAUCAGGAAAGACAUCACUCACAGAAGAAGCACCGGCUAACUCCGUGCCAGCAGCCGCGGUAAUACGGAGGGUGCGAGCGUUAAUCGGAAUUACUGGGCGUAAAGCGCGCGUAGGUGGCUUGAUAAGCCGGUUGUGAAAGCCACGGGCUCAACCUGGGAACGGCAUCCGGAACUGUCAAGCUAGAGUGCAGGAGAGGAAGGUAGAAUUCCCGGUGUAGCGGUGAAAUGCGUAGAGAUCGGGAGGAAUACCAGUGGCGAAGGCGGCCUUCUGGACUGACACUGACACUGAGGUGCGAAAGCGUGGGUAGCAAACAGGAUUAGAUACCCUAGUAGUC